rnacentral:rRNA from 1 species
CACGUAGUUAGCCGGUGCUUAUUCUUCAGGUACCGUCAUUACUCCGAGGUAUUAGCCCGGAGCGUUUCUUCCCUGACAAAAGCGGUUUACAACCCGAAGGCCUUCUUCCCGCACGCGGCAUGGUUGGAUCAGGCUUGCGCCCAUUGUCCAAAAUUCCCCACUGCUGCCUCCCGUAGGAGUCUGGGCCGUGUCUCAGUCCCAGUGUGGCUGGUCGUCCUCUCAGACCAGCUACAGAUCGUCGCCUUGGUGGGCUUUUACCCCGCCAACAAGCUAAUCUGACAUCGGCCGCUCCAAUAGCGCAAGGUCUUGCGAUCCCCUGCUUUCACCCGUAGGUCGUAUGCGGUAUUAGUCCGGCUUUCGCCGGGUUAUCCCCCACUACUGGGCACGUUCCGAUGUAUUACUCACCCGUUCGCCACUCGCCACCAGGAUUGCUCCCGUGCUGCCGUUCGACUUGCAUGUGUAAGGCAUGCCGCAGCGUUCAAUCUGAGCCAGGAUCAAACUCU